rnacentral:rRNA from 1 species
UACAGAGGUCUCAAGCGUUGUUCGGAUUCACUGGGCGUAAAGCGUGCGUAGGCUGUUCUGCAAGUCAGGAGUGAAAGCCCAAGGCUCAACCUUGGAAGCGCUCUUGAAACUGCAGGACUAGAAUUUGGGAGAGGAUAGCGGAAUUGUCAGUGUAGCAGUGAAAUGCGUAGAUAUUGACGGGAACACCAGUGGCGCAAGCGGCUAUCUGGACCAACAUUGACGCUGAGGCACGAAAGCGUGGGGAUCAAACAGG